AACAAAAACAAAAACAAAAACAAAAGAGCAUAGUAACUUCAGCAGAAAUAGCGUAAAUAAUUAUCUAAACAUAAGAACCAUAAAUAAAAUAGCAUGCAAUAAUAUCAUAUAGUAACUACCAUAAAUAACUACCAUAAGGGAGACACAAUCUAAUACAAAAGUCAUCUAUGAAUACCCUGCCAAGCCUCACCCAACCCCAGGUGAGGAGUACGAAAAAUUCUAGGGGCCCCUAUCCUACAACCCCGAUACUAGACCUCCAGACUUUCCUAGGGUCAUGUCCUCAGAAACCCGCAUUCUAGCCAUGUCAUGCCUAAUUACCUCUCCCCAAUACUAUAUCAGACAGUAACUACCAUAAAUAACUACCAAAGGGAGACACAAUCCAAUGCGCAAAUCGUCUAUGGAUAGCCCUGCCACGCCUCACCCAACCCCGGGUGAGGAGU
rnacentral:lncRNA from 1 species